CACACCCUAAACGAUGAAUGCUAGGUGUAGGAGGUAUCGACCCCUUCUGCGCCGUCGUAAACACAUUAAGCAUUCCGCCUGGGGAGUACGGUCGCAAGAUUAAAACUCAAAGGAAUUGACGGGGGCCCGCACAAGCAGCGGAGCAUGUGGUUUAAUUCGACGCAACGCGAAGAACCUUACCAGGUCUUGACAUCCAUUUAAAACUUAAGAGAUUAAGUGUGAGCAUGCUCAAAAUGAGACAGGUGG
rnacentral:rRNA from 1 species